rnacentral:rRNA from 1 species
ACGAACGCUGGCGGCGUGCUUAACACAUGCAAGUCGAACGGAAAGGCCCUGCUUGCAGGGUGCUCGAGUGGCGAACGGGGGAGUAACACGUGGGUGAACUGCCCAUUACUUUGGGAUAAGCGUGGGAAACUGGGACUAAUACUGGAUAGGACCAUGCUGUAGGUGGUGUGGUGGAAAGAUUAGUUUCGGUAAGGGAUGAGCACGCGGCCUAUCAGCUUGUUGGUGGGGUAAUGGCCUACGAAGGCGUCGACGGGUAGCCGGCCUGAGAGGGUGGACGGCCACGUUGGGACUCAGAUACGGCGCAGACGCCUACGGGAGUCAGCAGUGGGGGAUAUUGCACAAUGGCCGCAAGCCUGAUGCAGCGACGCCGCGUGGGUUAUGACGGCCUUCUGUUUGUAAACUCCUUUCGGCCAUGACGAAGCCCUUGUUGUGACGGUAGUGGUAGAAUAAGCACCGGCUAACUACGUG